AGGAUUUUAGUUAAAUAAUAUAACAUUUAAAUUGCAUUUAAAAAUAAUAUAUAAAAAUUUAUAAAUCUUA
rnacentral:tRNA from 1 species